AAGAGCCUGAGAGAAAAGGACACUGCAUAUAUCACAGAGAGAUGCAUAGGUGUUACACUCAGAAAGAGAGUGAACAACUAGAAGAUGUGGAAGGCAAGCUUUUUAGUAUUAAAAGGGCUUAGAAUAUAAACUGACACCUUGAAGAAGUGACCAUCUUGUAAUCAACACUUUAUUCUAAGGAUAACAGAGAUAAAUCAUAUAAGGAUCUCUGUUUCUUAAUGGCAUUGUUGAGCCCUAAACAUU
rnacentral:lncRNA from 1 species